UCCCGGAUUCCGGCCGCUCGCCCUGCACUAAUCUCCUGGGAGAGGCGGCCCGGGGCGGGGGUGGGCAGCCGGCUUGCGCCCGUGGUUCCCACGCCCUUCGGCCUCCGGGGGUCGCCGCGGGCGCGGGCUGGGGCUCGGACUUGGCCUUUGGCCUUUGGCUUUGGUGUCCCCGGGAGCGUGUCCUUGGGCUCGGCGUCGGCCUCUGCCGCGGGAGGCCCCUGGGCGGCGUGGGGUCUCUCCUCAUGUUCUGCCUUUGGUUCUAGGCGCUUUCCAGGCCUAGGGAAACCGCACUCGGGGACGCGGGGAACUGGGGAACAUGCCGGGUUGGGGCGGCGCGCUCCGGGGAACCCGGGACGUUCCGAGCGCCCACCCGGCGGGACGCGGCCGUGAGUUCUGCCCGCGGCCGUGAGCUCUGCCCACCGCCUCCGCGCCGCUUCCGGGGCUGCUGGGGCCCGGGCCUCCGCUGAGAGUCGUGGGAAGUUUCACUGUUACAUGCCUUGAAGUGAUGAGGAGGUUUCUGUUACUAUAUGCUACACAGCAGGGACAGGCAAAGGCCAUCGCAGAAGAAAUAUGUGAGCAAGCUGUGGUACAUGGAUUUUCUGCAGAUCUUCACUGUAUUAGUGAAUCCGAUAAGAGAGAACACAUACUUGUUUGAAAAUCCAGAAAAGACAGAAACAGAAGCCUGUCCCACUGUUCGAG
rnacentral:lncRNA from 1 species